rnacentral:lncRNA from 1 species
GUCAAACUAACUUGAUUGCGUUCUACGAAGAAGUAAGUAGAAGUAUAGAUCAGGGUGUUGCAGUGGAUGUGAUCUAUUUGGAUUUUGCCAAGGCAUUUGAUACAGUUCCAUACAAUAGAUUAGUGUUCAAACUCAAGGAAAUCGGUCUAGAUGAAAAUGCUUGUUCUUGGGUAGAACAUUGGCUUAAAAACAGAGUACAAAGAGUUGUCAUUAAUGGUAAAUUUUCAAGCUGGACAGAGG